rnacentral:rRNA from 1 species
UACGGGGGGGGCAAGCGUUGUUCGGAAUUAUUGGGUGUAAAGGGCGCGUAGGCGGUGAUUUAAGUGAGAUGUGUAAUCCCCGAGCUCAACUUGGGAACUGCAUCUCAGACUGGGUCGCUAGAGUGCUGGAGAGGGUGGUAGAAUUCCACGUGUAGCGGUGAAAUGCGUAGAGAUGAGGAGGAAUACCAGUGGCGAAGGCGGCCACCUGGACAGUAACUGACGCUGAGGCGCGAAAGUGUGGGGAGCAAACAGG